GGCUUUGUUUGCGCAGGAUAGGUGGGAGGCGUUGAAGAUUUUCUUGCGGGGAAGUUGGAGCCGUUGGUGAGAUACCACUCUAACAAUGCUAGGAUUCUAACCCUAUACCGUUAUCCGGUUAGGGGACAGUUUCAGGUGGUCAGUUUGACUGGGGCGGUCGCCUCCCAAAAGGUAACGGAGGCGUGCAAAGGUUUCCUCGGGCCGGUCGGAAAUCGGUCGUAGAGUGUAAAGGCAUAAGGAAGCUUGAUUGUGAGACCUACAAGUCAACAAAGACGAAAGUCGGCCUUAGUGAUCCGACGGUUCCGAGUGGAAGGGCCGUCGCUCAACGGAUAAAAGUUACUCUAGGGAUAACA
rnacentral:rRNA from 1 species